GAUAGCUCAGUUGGUUAGAGUGCGGUGCUCAUAAUGCCAAGGUUGCAGGUUUGAUCCCUGUAAGAGACA
rnacentral:tRNA from 1 species